rnacentral:rRNA from 1 species
UUUAAAGCAGAUGAUGGAUGCCUUGGGGCAAUUGAGCCGAAGAAGGACGUAUGAGCCUGCGAUAAGCCUCGGUGAGCUGGCAAAAAGCGUUACCAGCCGGGGAUUUCCGAAUGGGGAAACCCAAUCUUUUAGAUUGCACUUAAGCCAAGUUCCUGCCUUUUGGCGGGAUAUUAACUUAAUGUGAGGGAACCUAGCGAAGUGAAACAUCUCAGUAGCUAGUGGAAAAGAAAACGACGCGACUUAAAUUCCUAAGGUUUGCCGCCUUUUGGCGGUGGAUCUUGGGAAGGAAAGUCGCACCAUUUCCUAAGUAGCGGCGAGCGAAAGGGAAAAAGCCCAAACCUCUGAUUCGUCAGAGGGGUUGUAGGACCGGCAUAAAGAAAAACAAGGAUAAGAGAACGUUCUGGAAAGAACGGCCCGAGAAGGUGAUAGCCCUGUAGCUGAAAUUUAAGUUUUUCUGGCUGGUAUCCUGAGUACCACGGGAUAGGCGUAAGCCUGUGGGAAGCUACCCAAACCACUGGGUAAGGCUAAAUACUCAUUGCCACCGAUAGUGAACUAGUACCGUGAGGGAAAGGUGAAAAGCACCCCGGUUAGGGGAAUGAAAUAGUAUCUGAAAUCAUCUGCUGACAAGCAGACGGAGCUGGAUCGCAAGAUUUGGUGACGUCGUGCCUAUUGAAGAAUGAGCUGAGGAGUGAUCGUGCGCAGCAAGGUUAAGGGAAUAAAACCCCGGAGCCGUAGCGAAAGCUAGUCCUAAUUGGGCGAAUAGUUGCCCGCGAUCGACCCGAAGCCUGGUGAGCUAACCAUGAGCAGGUUGAACCCCGCCGAGAGGCGGGGGGAGGACCGAACCGUUGUAUGUUGCAAAAUGCUCGGAUGACUUGUGGUUAGGGGCAAUAUACCAAUCGAACCAGGUGAUAGCUGGCUCUCCUCGAAAUGUAUUUAGGUACAGCCUUUUAGAGUAGCCGCGGGGGUAGAGCUACUGGAAGGGAUGUGAAGCCCGAGAGGGUAUUCCUCCCUACCAAACUCCGAAUACCGCGUGUGUAAUCUAAAGGAGUGAGCAGGCGGGAGCAAGUUCCGUCGUGCAAAAGGGAAACAGCCCAGACCAUCAGUUAAGGUCCCUAAGUUGGAUUUAAGUGGGAAAGGUAGUGAAGUGACUCAGACACCCAGAAGGUAGGCUCAGAAGCAGCCAUCCUUGAAAGAGUGCGUAACAGCUCACUGGCUAAGUCAUUUUGCGCCGAAAAUGUAACGGGGCUCAAAAUCCACACCGAAGCUAUGGACUCGCCGCAAGGCGAGUGGUAGAGGAGCGUUCCGGCAGCAGCGAAGCCGACUCGUAAGAGGCGGUGGAGCGGCCGGAAGUGAGAAUCUCAGCAUGAGUAGCGUAUUUGGCGGUGAGAAUCCGCCACGCCGUAAGUUCAAGGUUUCCUCCGCAAUGCUCGUCAUCGGAGGGUUAGUCGGUCCUAAGGCGAGGCCGAAAGGCGUAGUCGAUGGACAGCUGGUCAAUAUUCCAGCACUUCUUCUUAAGUUUGAUGGGGUAACGUUUGCCAAAGUUGGGAGCGCUCGUAUGGUUGGGCGUUCUUGAGCCAAGGCGUCCGGUCGGCAAAUCCGCCGGGCAUAAACCAAGGCAAAAAGGAGAGUUGCGCAAGCAACAAUUCCUGAGGCUGGUGAACCAAGAAAAACCUCUAAAUUACCUUAAGAAGAAUCCGUACCGCAAACCGACACAGGUGAACUAGUUGAGUAGACUAAGGCGUUCGAGAAAACCUUCCUUGAUGAAUUAGGCAAGUUGACCCCGUAAGUUCGCGAGAAGGGGUGCCUUACCUUCGGGUAAGGCCACAGCAACAAGGCUCAAGCGACUGUUUAACAAAAACACAGGUCUCCGCUCAACCCGUAAGGGGAUGUAUGGGGGCCGACGCUUGCCCAGUGCCAGUAGGUUAAGGGGAGGGCUGAGGUAUGAAAGUACUGAGGCUCAAACUUAAGCCCUGGUGAACGGCAGCAGUAACUAUAACUGUUCUAAGGUGGAAUGCGCGCUGCCUUAGUAAAAUUCGGCUAUAUGCUGGAACGUCUGGAGAAUCCUAAGCUACUUAUGGUAAGAAUAUACCUUAGAUGGAAAAUUCUUCCAAAAGUGAAAAUGCUUUAGGUGCAGAUAAUCAGCAGGAAAGGCCAAAAAUUAUUGGUUGGGUCGCUGGUUUUGUCGAUGGAGAAGGAACAUUUUCUGUUUCUGUCUUCAGAAAUAAAACCUCUAAGUUUGGUUGGCAAGUUUUUCCUGAGUUUAUCGUGACUCAAGGGGAGAAAAGCCUUCCGGCUUUGGAAUUUUUACAGAAUUUCUUCGGUUGUGGAAAAAUUUUCAUCAACCGCAGAAAAGAUAAUCAUAAAGAAGAUAUUUAUCGCUAUUGCGUAAGAUCUGUUAAAGAUCUGCAAUCGAUAAUUAUCCCCUUCUUUGAGAUUAACCAAUUAAAAACUGCAAAAAGAAACGACUUUAGAUAUUUCCGUCAAAUUCUAGAAAUGAUCGGCAAAAGGAAACACCUCGAUCCGCAAGGAUUGAGAACGAUUGCUUUGAUCACAAAAGGGAUGAAUGACGGAGGAGCAACCACAUUUUUGGAAUCCUCACACACUAUACGCCGGACUCCGAUUAAGUCGGGGAAGAGAUAGUGGCGUCUGCAUGGCGACAUGCAGUGGUUACUUUAAAAAAUUAAGGUAACUUGAACUCUGUUUUAUCAGAGAAAGAUUGACAAGCGAAGUUCCUUGUCGGGUGGACUGGAAUCGCCCGAAUAUCGUGGCAACAUGAUACAAGCAAAUUGGCUUAUAUCGGUGAAAGCUAAAACUUUAAAAGUCAUGCUAAUACCGAGGGAAGUCUUCCGUUUAAUUA